rnacentral:RNase_P_RNA from 1 species
CAGGUGACUGCUGGCUUUUUUGCUAGAGGAAAGUCCAUGCUCGCACUUUCUGCGAUGGAAGUAGUGUUUGCGCCGGAGGAAAAAAUAACUCCGGGUAGGGAGGAGUCCUAAACGGCUGGUGAUGUCCUAAAAGCUCUGCUCAAGGAAUAGCCUAUAAAAGCUCCACAGAGACGAUUAGGGAGAAAUCCUAAAAUGAAACGUUGGAAAGCCCCACAAGCGAGAAACCUAAACUUGGUAAGGGAAAUCCGCGCCUGGAAAUGAACGGGCAAGGGUAGAGAAAUCUAGAUUAAUUGUCACCCUCGACAAAACAUGGCUUACG